GUGGGUUAUGACAUCAAGCUCAAAUUUUUGAGGCCUUAAACUCAUAGUUAUACAAUGUUCAUAAAAUAUUAUAUUUGUACCAAUGGUCUAGUGGCAGAAGAUGGAUGGUAGUGAUGCAACAAGGUCCUCCCCUCUCAUACCACCUAUUCACCCCUUUGGGGCCUUUUAACUCCAUAUAUGUUAAAAAAUCUUCCAAAUUUUUCCGGUGGCCGCCGCAUCAGUGGAUUCAAAGUUUGUGUCUCUAUAUGUAAGGGCUGGUUGGUUGUUCGAGCAUCACCUCUUAAUUCCUUUUAGGGUUAGAAAGCCAUAACUAUCGUUUAACAAAUGUCAAUCAACCACAAUUGUCAUAUUUUGUGGCUGGUUGGAGCCGGGUCCGGUUAUGGUGCAUAAGCCCAAGAUAAUUGCUUAGCACACCCCGUCCAUUGCUUCGUACACCCCAAUAGAUCCCUCACCCACGUACGCAAGGUUCACAUUUCACAAAACAAAUUGCUCGUUCAUCAUCAAACAAAACUCGCUCCCUCUUCGCCGUCGCCAUUAACGCCUUCCAUCUUCAACGUCGCCGCCGUUCAUCAUCAGUUCAUCACAUUUCAUCAUCUUCACCGUCGCCAUCAUUCAAAACCAUUCAAUAUAGUUCAUCAUCAUUCACCAACAUAUACAUAAUUUGAACGAACCAAACACAAAAUGUUGAAAAGAAAACAGAUUGAUUGGCAACGAGCAGGAGAGCCUAUUGAUGAAACAUUGAUUAAUAAGGCAUUGACUUUCUACUUAGAGAUCGGAGAAAGCACAAGAAAAGAAGAACCAAAACACUUUGCAGAAACAAUGAUUAAAGAAAAUGCAGCAUUCUAUGCUAUGUCGAGGCUUCAAAUUUGAUAGCAAAUUUUGCUAUCUUUCAAUUGAAAGUAUAAAAUUGAUUACUACUUUAGUUUCCCUUAUACUAUGAUACUAGUGGAAUAUUGAAAGAUUAAAAAGGAUUGCUACUUUGUUUUUUUUG